AUUGAACGCUGGCGGCAUGCUUUACACAUGCAAGUCGGACGGCAGCACAGAGAAGCUUGCUUCUUGGGUGGCGAGUGGCGAACGGGUGAGUAACAUAUCGGAACGUACCGAGCAGUGGGGGAUAACUAAUCGAAAGAUUAGCUAAUACCGCAUAUAUUCUGAGGAAGAAAGCAGGGGACCAUUUGGCCUUGCGCUGUUUGAGCGGCCGAUAUCUGAUUAGCUGGUUGGUGGGGUAAAGGCCUACCAAGGCGACGAUCAGUAGCGGGUCUGAGAGGAUGAUCCGCCACACUGGGACUGAGACACGGCCCAGACUCCUACGGGAGGCAGCAGUGGGGAAUUUUGGACAAUGGGCGCAAGCCUGAUCCAGCCAUGCCGCGUGUCUGAAGAAGGCCUUCGGGUUGUAAAGGACUUUUGUCAGGGAAGAAAAGGACAGGGUUAAUACCCCUGUCUUGAUGACGGUACCUGAAGAAUAAGCACCGGCU
rnacentral:rRNA from 1 species